rnacentral:lncRNA from 1 species
GGCAUGAUCAGAGCGUUGAUCUACUGGCUUCUAAGCCUGUGCUGAUUCUUGGGUGUAGAUAUCAUUGCCAGCGCUUUCAGUUAUUGUAAUGCCCCAAGUUUUAACAUAUUUUAGAUUUACUGUGUCUUUUUGAGAAUAUUUUUGCUUUAUGAAUAAGAUUGAAAUGAUUUUUGUUAUUCCUUAAGGCCACGUGUUUAGCAAUAUGAGAAGACUCAGCAGUACGUAGCUUUACUCUAGCUAGAUGGGAUUGUUAAAAUGUAAAGGAUCACUUUUCUCUCAUUCUAAAUUCUCUUCUUUUUAAAAAA